rnacentral:lncRNA from 1 species
GGGCCGGCCCUUUGAUUAGGCCCAAGGGGCAAUGGCCUAGGGCCCCCAAAUUUAGGGGGCCCCAAAAAAUGUAUAGCCCACUAGUAUUAUUAGCCCAAUUGUAAAAAAAAAAAAUUUAUCUAUAACCUAUUCCUGCAAAACAGCAAGCAACGGCUCUCCUUCUCAAUUUUAUUUUUUUCCAUACGCUGACUAGCUCUAACGUCUCUCUCUUCUCGACUUCUCUCAAUUCUUGAAUCGUGCUGCUCAUCUGCUCUCUCGACUCUCAUCUCCUACCUAUUCUCUGUGCUAUUGCGCCUGCCCAUCUCUCUCUCUCAAUUCUCACUCUAUUUUGCGGCCUUUGCUCGGCUUCCGCUGCUCAGUCUUUGCUCGAGCUCCAUCUGCCUGAAGUGAAUUAAGGCUGAAAUUAUAAAGGGUAAAGGGUAUUCUCAGCUCAUCCUUUGCUUCAUUUUCGAAAAAGGAAGGUAUUUUGUUAGUUUAUUUAUAAGAAUUUAGAUUUCGAAAUUGAUGAUGUGAGAAAAAAAAAUGAUUCUUUGAAUAUCUUUGAUCCAAGAACUUGGAAUAAUCUUGAUAACAAAACUAGAGAUAUUUUGAUAGAGAAAGGCCCAUUAAGAGAAUACAAUCUCACUUUCCCUAUAGAUGAGCUUGGUAGACAUUUUGCAUAUUCUUAUUAUACUAGAAAACUACCAAAUGGUGAGAAUCAAGAUAGAAAAUGGUUGGUGUACUCAAAAGAUGCAAAUAAAGUAUAUUGUUUUUGUUGCAAAUUAUUUAGAUCACUUCAAAAUAAUAGUUUGCUAGCAAAUGAAGGUUUGAAUGAUUGGAAGCAUAUAAAUGAUAGGCUCAAAAAACAUGAGAAAAGUAUUGAGCAUAUUAAUAAUAUGAGGACUUGGAUUGAUUUGCAUAUUAGAUUGCAACAUAAUCAAACAAUUGAUAAAGAUUUACAAGCACUCAUUAAAAAAGAGAAAGAACAUUGGAAACUUGUUUUAGUAAGAAUUAUUGCCGUUGUGAAAUGUCUUGCUACACGUAAUUUGGCUUUUCGUGGGGACAAUGAAAAGAUUUAUCAAAAUAAUAAUGGUAAUUUUCUUGGCUUGCUUGAAUUGAUUGCAGAAUUUGAUUUGGUAAUGCAAGAGCACUUAAGACGUGUCCAGAAUAAGGAAAUUCAUUAUCAUUAUCUUAGUCACAAGAUUCAAAAUGAGUUGAUUUCAACAUUAGCCUCUAAAGUUAAGAAUGAUAUAAUAAAAAAAAUAAAAGAGGCUAAGUAUUAUUCAGUGAUUCUUGAUUGUACUUCUGAUAUAAGUCAUAAUGAGCAAAUGACUUUAGUAAUUCGAUGUGUUGAUAUGUCCGACAAUAAAAUAAAGGUAAAGGAAUAUUUCAUUGAAUUUUUAAGUGUGGAUGAUACAUCUGGUGUAGCCCUUUUUAAUGAAAUACAAGGUGUUUUACAAUCACUUGAUCUUGAUAUUGAUAAUGUUAGGGGACAAGGAUACGAUAAUGGUUCCAAUAUGAAAGGAAGACAUCAAGGUGUGCAAAAGAGAUUUCUUGAUAUUAAUCCUAGAGCAUUUUAUAUGCCAUGUGCUUGUUAUUCUCUUAAUUUAACAAUAUGUGAUAUGGCUAGUUCUUGUGUUAAAGCUGUCUCUUUUUUGGGAGUUGUGCAACGUUUGUAUACUUUAUUUGCUAGUUCUACAAAAGAUGGAAAAUUUUACAGGAUCACAUUCAUCAAUUUACUUUAAAAUCAUUAUCAACAACAAGAUGGAAAAGUCAUAUUAAUAGUGUUACCAUAAUAACUCAACCUAAGGAAAUAAGAGAUGCUCUAUUUGAACUAUCAAGAGUUAGUGAGGAUGCUAAAACUAGGAGUGAAGCCGAGUCUUUGGCAACUAAUGAACUUGAGAAUUUUGAAUUUUUGUUGGGUAUGACUAUAUGGCAUAAUAUAUUGAACAAAACAAAUUUGAUUAGCAAAAAACUACAAUCUAAAGACAUGCAAAUUGAUGUUGCAAUAGUUAUCUUGAAAGGUUUGAUUUCUUAUUUUGAAAAAUAUAGAGAGGAAGGUUUUCAGUCGGCCUUGACAUUAGCUAAGGACCUUGCAUCUAAAAUGGAAAUUGAUCCUAUUUUUCCACCAAAACGUAUGAUUCGUAGGAAGAAACAAUUUGAUGAAAAUUGUCAAGAAGAGAUUCCAUUAUCUGAUGAGGAGUCUUUUAGGAUCAAUUAUUUUAUUGUUAUAGUGGAUAUUGCUAUUUUAUCUUUAAAGACUAGAUUUGAACAAUUGACAAUAUUUGAAGAUAUUUUUGGCUUUUUGUUUCCUCAUAAGAUGUUAUCUUUAUGGGAUGGUGAUAAAUUGCAUAAAUGUUGUGUUAAGCUUCAAGAUGCCCUGAAACAUAAUGAUAAAUUUGAUAUUGAUGCUGAAGAUUUAUAUUCUGAAUUGCAAGUGCUACAAAUGUGUUUACCAUCUGAAACAAAGUCUCUUGAUGAGGUUCUUGAGUUUGUUAAAGUUUCAGAUUGCUUUCCUAAUGUUUCUAUUGCAUAUAGAAUAUUGUUGACUAUACCAGUUACUGUAGCUUCAGCAGAAAGAAGUUUUUCAAAAUUAAAAUUGAUAAAAUCAUAUUUACGUUCUACUAUGUCUCAAGAAAGGUUGAAUGGAUUGGCGGUUCUAUGCAUUGAACAUGAGGUAUUAGAAAAGCUUGAUCUUGAAGAAAUUAUUGAUGAUUUUGCUUCUCAAAAUGCAAGAAGAUCUAAGUUAUUUUUAUAAUUAUUUUAUCAUUGUUUUCUAGUUUAUUGCACUUUAUGGUUAAUGUUACAGGUUUACAGAUAUCUCAAAUUUGCUACAACUUCUCGAAGCUUCUUCUUUAGGGGCCCCUUUUUUCCUUUUCGCCUAGGGCCCCCAGAAUGUCAGGGCCGGCCCUGCG